AAAAGACCUAGCGGAGAAGUUAGCAGCUGCAGCCGGUGUCAUUAUUGAGUGCUUACUAGUGCCCGGCCCUUUGAAAAUCGCUCGCUUGGUACUUAAUUCUCACACUAAUUUGGUAAGAUGAAGAAACUGCUCAGAUUUGGCCAAGAUCACAUAACUAGGUGGGGAGUUGGAGCCCACUAUGACUGACUCCAAAUUAAUAUAGUGGUUGUAGCCACUUGUAUAGUAAUGGUAAAGGCUUCAUUUUUACUUUGUUGUAUGGGUAAACUCAUGAGGGAAGGAGACAGCACAUCCUUAGACAUGACAGGAAGGAUUAGAAAAAGAAACAGAAGAAAAGUAGAAAAAGUAAAAUGCCCUCAUUAAUUUUAAAGGAUUUAAAAAUAAAGCAGAAACAAAUGGACUAGGAAAUAAAUUGAUCCCAAUAAUAGCUGGUAUUUGAAAAAAAAAAAAACAAUAAA